CAGUCGCCGCGGUAAUACGUAGGUCCCGAGCGUUGUCCGGAUUUAUUGGGCGUAAAGGGAGCGCAGGCGGUUUAGUAAGUCUGAAGUUAAAGGCAUUGGCUCAACCAAUGUAUGCUUUGGAAACUGUUAGACUUGAGUGCAGAAGGGGAGAGUGGAAUUCCAUGUGUAGCGGUGAAAUGCGUAGAUAUAUGGAGGAACAACGGUGGCGAAGGCGGCUCUCUGGUCUGUCACUGACGCUGAGGCUCGGAAGCGUGGGUAGCGAACAGGAUUAGAUACCCGAGUAGUCCCUGUCUCUUAUACA
rnacentral:rRNA from 1 species